rnacentral:rRNA from 1 species
GAUGAACGCUGGCGGCGUGCCUAAUACAUGCAAGUCGAACGGACAGGCCCUGCUUUUGUGGGGUGCUUGAGCGGCGAACGGGUGAGUAACACGUGAGUAACCUGCCUUUGACUCUGGGAUAACUUCAGGAAACCGGGGCUAAUACCGGAUAGGAGCUCCUGCCGCAUGGCGGGGGAUGGAAAGUUUCGGCGGUUGGGGAUGGAAUCGCGGCAUAUCAGCCUGUUGGUGGGGUAGUGGCUUACCAAGGCCUUGACGGGUAGCCGGCCUGAGAGGGUGACCGGCCACAUUGGGACUGGGAUACGGCCCGUACUCCUACGGGAGGCAGCGGUGGGGAAUAGUGCGCGAUGGGCGGAGGCCUGAUGCAGCAACGCCGCGUGCUAGAUGACGGCCUUCGGGUUAUAAACCGCUUUCGCCUAUGACGAAGCGUGAGUGACGGUAAUUGGUAAGGAAGCACCGGCUAACUACGUG